UACGUGAGGGUGCAAGCGUUGUCCGGAAUUAUUGGGCGUAAAGAGCUCGUAGGCGGUUUGUCGCGUCGAAUGUGAAAACCCGCAGCUCAACUGUGGGCUUGCAGCUGAUACGGGCAGGCUUGAGUUCGGUAGGGGAGACUGGAAUUCCUGGUGUAGCGGUGAAAAUGCGCAGAUAUCAGGAGGAACACCGGUGGCGAAGGCGGGUCUCGUGGGCCGAUACUGACGCUGAGGAGCGAAAGCGUGGGGAGCGAACAGG
rnacentral:rRNA from 1 species